rnacentral:misc_RNA from 1 species
UAAUAAGGUUUUAUGGCACUUUUUAAAUCCAUAUCCACCUUGUGUGCAAUGUCAGUCGAUCUUCUUCAUGGAGAUCGACCAAACAUCAACCUUUAUCUUUUAACUCUUUGUCUUAAAAAUAUUAUGAAUAAACAAUUCAAAAUA